rnacentral:lncRNA from 1 species
CUCAGAAUGAAAUUGAAUUCCUCUUUAGGCACACAUAUCCUAAUCACUUGAUUUGGGUAAAGUUUGUACAGGUAAGGAUCAUCCCAUAUAAAGUACUUGGCUCAACAAUCAACUUUUUUCUUUGCUGAAAACUAAAAUCCUUUGGUACCCACACUCCUGCAAGAAAAUUAGCUAUAUCAACAAACCAUGGUAACUUAGAAGAGAUGGAAAAUACAACAUAUAACUUCUCAUCAGGAAAAAGUUUAAAAAUCUUCUCUUUUGUAGGUAAUGGAUUCUCCAGUCU